UACAGAGGUGGCAAGCGUUGUUCGGAAUUACUGGGCGUAAAGGGCGCGUAGGCGGCCUUCUAAGUCAGACGUGAAAUCCCCAGGCUUAACUUGGGAACUGCGUCUGAUACUGGGAGGCUUGAGUGCGGGAGAGGGAUGUGGAAUUCCAGGUGUAGCGGUGAAAUGCGUAGAUAUCAGGAGGAACACCGGUGGCGAAGGCGGGUCUCUGGGCCGAUACUGACGCUGAGGAGCGAAAGCGUGGGGAGCGAACAGG
rnacentral:rRNA from 1 species